CCGAAUGGUGUGAAUUCGAAGUCCUGCCCCCUUACAUCCAAAUUGGCAUGCUCUUUCAGGAACUUCUCAGGCUGAAAUUCCAAUGGGUUAGUCCAAAUGUUAGGGUCACGAUGCAACUUCCAGAGGUUAACCACAAGGCGCGUGCCUGCUGGGAUGUGGAAGAGCUAUCGUUAUUGUGUCACUGCCUCCCAAUAGAAGGCUCUGCCUCUCAUUCAGUCUCCUCCACAAAAGCUUCGACUCGAAGAAGAACAAAUCCGACUGCAACUCCAACAAGAACAAGCCCAUUCAUGAUUGCUGCUAUCCUGAAUAUCUCACCAACAUCACUGCAGGAUGAAGAGAGUGCACCCCCACUCCUGCCUUUACCCUUUGAUGGAGCUCUCAAUGAGCUGACCACCUUUGCAAAGGACUGCUCGGUGCAUACUGGUGUUGAAAGCUAAGCUGAUUACUUUUGAUAAAAAAUCGAUGAAGAAGACUGCAACAAGAAGGAUGAAGAAGUUGCAGAAAUUCUGUUAAAACAGUUAAGAAGGCAGUUAAAACCGUUAUUUUUGUUUUCUGUUUUUACUGUUACAAAACUGACUGUAAAUCAUUUCCACGUGAGAUGAUCUUGAUUCCUAAAAUAAAGGAAUCAGUUACAUAAAUUGUGUAUAAAAGCAAUGGUUACAGAAUUGAAAGUAAUAAGAAAAUAUACAGAACUUCUUCAUAAUCUUCUCUGCACAUUUAAAGCUUUAUUCUUUCUAUCCUCUUCUUCUUCUUCUCCAACGAAAUACAAGAAAAUCAACAUGGUAUCAGAGCACUCAAACUGAUUCCUGAGAGGGGUGUAGACUGUGAAAGAGAGAUUGAUUAAACUGUUAAUUACUCAAAAAUGGUAGGAUCAAGCUCAGCUGGAGGAGACUUAAGAACUCCACAGUUCAAUGGCACGAAUUAUGAUUUUUGGGCUGUAAAAAUGGAAAUUGUCCUCAUAGCACUCGAUCUAUGGGAAGUAGUUGAAGAUGGAAUAAAAUCUCAUCAAGCACCUGAGAUUGCAGUUGGAUCAGGCGAUGAAGAGAGUGAGGCUGAUCAAAUUAUACUGCAUGCAUCCACGACAUCCAGAGAAGAAAAAAUAUCAAGAAUGCAAAGGCUUUAAGCCUCAUACAAGGAGCAUUAACAGAUGAUCUUUUCCCACGUAUAAGAAAUGAGAAAACUGUAAAAGGAGCAUGGGACAUCUUGAGCAGAGAAUUCAGAGGAGAUAAAAAGGUUAGAGCAGUAAAACUUCAAGGAGUAAGAGCAGACUUUGAAUAUUUGAGAAUGUCAGAAAGUGAAAGCUUAGAUGGUUAUCUAGCUAAAUUCUUUGUAACUAUAAACAACCUAAAAUCAUUAGGUGAAGAUGUAUCAAAAAACAGAAUUGUGUAGAAAUUGUUAAUGAGUCUAAGCAGAAGAUAUAAGUCUAUUGUGUCAAUCAUUGAAGAGACACGUGAUCUUGAAGUUCUAAGAGAAGAAGAAGUCAUUGCUUCUGUUAAAGUAUAUGAUAAGAGGAAGGAUCUGCAUGAUGAAAGGGAUAAGCUAAGAGGAACAGAAAAAGCCUUUAGCAGUUUUAAAAUUGGAAACAAUCAAGGUUACAAUUCUCACAAGAAUUUUCAAGGCAGACCUACUCAAAAAUGGCAACCACAAGACAGGAAGGGAUCAAACUGGAAUCCAAACAGAACUCUGAAUAGCUACAGCAAUUCAAACUGGAAUAACACUGGUGGAGGGAGCAGUCAAGCAGGAGAAAAACCACAGUGUCAAGUCUGUCAAAAACAUCAUUUUGGAUUGUGCAGACACAAAGGAAAACCAAGAUGUGGAAGAUGCAAUCGUUUGGCCAUAUUACAAAAGAUUGUGAAAGUCAGAAUCACAAACAACUUGCAAAUUAUGCUAAAGAAGAAGGAGUCAUCACUGGAACCAUGUUCUAUGCUUGCCAUGCUGCAAGUUUGCAAGACAAAAAGAUAUGGUUUGUGGAUAGUGCCUGCUCACAUGACUUCUCAAGAAUCUGAACUAAUCAACAUUGAUAGAUCAGUAACAUGCAAAGUGAAGAUGGGCUCAGGAGACCUUGUGCAAGCUACUGGAAAAGGUACAUUGGUUGUGGAAACUCAGCAUGGGAAGAGAUACAUAAAAGAAGUAUUGCUUGUUCCCAGAUUGGAUGAAAACUUACUAAGUGUAGGCCAGAUGAUGGAGCAUGGCUAUUACAUUCUGUUUGGAGGUAACAAGGCAGUAAUAUUUGAUGAUGAAAGCCUCAACAAUGUUAUAGCAAUAGUAAUCAUGGGAGGAAAUCGAUGCUUUCCACUUUCACUUAAAAGUAUUACACCUGCAGCAAGGAAAGCUUUAGUGACUGAGGAUUCUUGGAUAUGGCAUAGGAGACUUGGACACUUGAACUUUGCCAACAUGAAAAAGAUGCAAUAGAAAGAGAUGGUGUGUGGACUUCCUGCUCUGACUGAAGUAGAAGAUGUUUGUGCAGGUUGUGCAUCAGGCAAACAUCAUAAGGAGAAAUUCAUCAAAGAGCAAGCAAUCCACUGGAAUUGAUCCACACUGAUCUGUGUGGACCAAUGCAGAAUGAUUCUGUGGGAGGGAACAGAUACUUCAUCACAUUCAUUGAUGAUUACUCAAGAAUAUGUUGGGUAUACUUUCUCAGAAAUAAAUCUGGUGCACUGAAUGUAUUCAAAAAAUUCAAAGCAUUCGUUGAACUGCAAAGUGGACACAAACUGAAGAAGCUAAGAAGUGACAGAGGAGGAGAAUAUACUUCCAAAGAAUUUGAAGAAUUAUGUGAGAAGCAAGGAAUGGAGAGGCAAUUGACAGUUGCAUACUCCCCUCAACAGAAUGGAGUUGCAGAAAGGAGAAACAGAACAAUUUGUGAGAUGGGGAGAUCUAUGCUGAUAGAGAAAGGAAUGUCAGUAACCUUCUGGGCAGAAGCUGUUAAUACAGCUGUGUAUAUACAGAAUAGAUGUUAUACAACAUUUGUUGCAGAAAAGACUCCUUUUGAAGCCUUCACGGGAAGGAAGCCAGGAGUCAAGCAUUUGAAGGUGUUUGGUUGCUUGUGUUACACACAUAUCCAUCAUCACUAAGGCAGAAAUGGGAUAGCAAAGCUGGAAAGGGAGUGUUUGUUGGAUAUGGCAGCUGUGAAAAGGGUAUAGGAUAUAUGAUCUGAAAACUGAGAAGAUUGUUCUCUCAAGAAGUGUGAUUUUCAGUGAAGAUAAAGCAUGGAAUUGGAAGGGAAAUCUGAUGAACCAAAUCCACUUGUCCUUCAAUCAUGAAGGAGGUAUAAUUGAAGGUGAGAAUCUUGAGAAACACACUUCUAAAAUUCAACCCGACAAUGUUGAACAUUGCAAUCAAAAUCCUAUAGUUGAAGAGUCAGUUGAGAAGAUUGACAGUGCUAACAGUCAACAAUCUUCACCAAGCUCUACUCCAGUGAAAUUGAAAAUCUUGGAAGACAUAUAUGCAAGGUGUCACAUGUGCAUCAUAGAACCUGAGAAUUAUCAAGAAGCUGCUGGGGAUAAAGCCUGGCAGGAGGCUAUGAAGGAAGAGUUGGAAGUGAUAGAGAAGAACAAUACUUGGGAAUUGGUGGAAAGACCAAGUGAUAAACCUGUGAUAAGAGUGAAAUGGGUGUACAAAACCAAGCUUCAUCUUGAUGGAUCAGUUCAGAAACACAAGGCUCGACUUGUAGCAAAGGGUUAUGCAUAGAAAUAUGGAAUUGAUUACAAUGAAACCUUUGCACCAGUAGCAAGGUUAGACACAAUUCGAACUCUCAUUGCACUUACAGCACAGAAGGGGUGGAAGUUGUUUCAAUUGGAUGUCAAGUCAGCAUUCCUAAAUGGUGUACUUGAAGAAGAAGUAUAUGUUGAACAGCCUGAAGGGUUUGAAGUAAAGAAUGCAGGACAUAAAGUUUACAAACUAAAGAAGGCUUUGUAUGGAUUAAAACAGGCACCGAGAGCCUGGUAUAGUGAGAUUGAUACAUAUCUCUCUAUGUGCAAUUUUAAAAGGAGUGGAAGUGAAGCUACUCUAUAUACAAGAUCAGACAUGGAAGGUAAUUUGAUCAUAGUUUCAAUCUAUGUUGAUGACAUUGUGUACACUGGCAGCAGUGAGAGGCUUCUCAAUGAAUUCAAAAGGGAAAUGAUGCAGAGAUAUGAGAUGUCUGAUCUUGGACUUCUUCACCAUUUUCUUGGCAUGGGGAUACUGCAAACCAAUCGAGGAGUGUUUAUUCAUCAAGGGAAAUAUGACAAAUCUCUGCUCAGUAAGUUUGGACUUGAUGAUUGCAAACCAGUUUCCAUUCCCCUGGCCACUGGAGAGAAACUGAAGAAGAAAGAUGGAAGUGAGUUGGCUGAUGAAGGUCUUUAUAGAAGAAUAGUAGGAAGUCUACUAUAUUUGACAGCUACAAGACCUGAUCUAAUGUAUGCUGCAAGUUUAUUAUCAAGGUUCAUGACUGGACCUACCAAGAUUCACAUGGGAGCUGCAAAAAGAGUUCUAAGAUAUGUGCAAGGAACUCUCAGUUAUGGGAUUGAAUAUGUAAGGGAUCAAUCAGCAACUCUCAUUGGAUUUUGUGAUGCAGAUUGGGCAGGAAGUGAAGAUGAUAGCAGGAGUACUUCGGGCUAUGCAUUUAGUUUUGGAAGUGGAGCAUUCUCCUGGUCUUCUGUAAAACAAAACACAGUAGCAUUGUCAACUGCUCAGGCCAUUUGGCUAUAGUUUGUUCUUGAUGAUUUUGGGGAAAUGCAAGCUGAAGCAACACCUUUAUUCUAUGAUAACAUGUCAGCAAUUUCGAUGGCCAAGAAUCCAGUUUUCCAUCAGAGAACAAGACACAUAAACAAGAAGUAUCACUUUUUAAGAGAGGCUCUGCAAGAAGGAGUAAUUGAUGUGAAGUUCUGCAGAAGUGAAGAACAACUUGCAGACAUCUUCACAAAGGCAUUACCCAAAGAUAGAUUCAAGAAACUAAAACUAGAUCUUGGAGUUAAAUCAGUAAACAGCUUAGGAGAGGCUGUUGAAAGCUAAGCUGAUUACUUUUGAUAAAAAAUCGAUGAAGAAGACUGCAGCAAGAAGGAUGAAGAAGUUGCAGAAAUUCUGUUAAAACAGUUAAGAAGGCAGUUAAAACCGUUAUUUCUGUUUUCUGUUUUUACUGUUACAAAACUGAUUGUAAAUCAUUUCCACGUGAGAUGAUCUUGAUUCCUAAAAUAAAGGAAUCAGUUACAUAAAUUGUGUAUAAAAGCAAUGGUUACAGAAUUGAAAGUAAUAAGAAAAUAUACAGAACUUCUUCAUAAUCUUCUCUGCACAUUUAAAGCUUUAUUCUUUCUAUUCUCUUCUUCUUCUCCAACGAAAUACAAGAAAAUCAACUGGCUGGCCUAAUGAACUCACAUUGUUGUGAGCUUUUAGCCCACCAAAAGAAUCCAGUCCUGUUAUGUACUUCACUUUGAUUUGCUUCCACUCAGGACUGCUAACUGUGGCAGCAGCAAGUGUUGCUGGAGAAAGCGUUGCUGAGGCUGUUGCCAGUGACCCAAAACAUGCAAUAUAUAAGAUGAGAAACAGGAACACAAUCACACCUUGUACACACCAAAAACAGAACUUACAAGUUACUACUAAUUACUAUCUAAUUUAAUGAAAUAAGCGUCCUAUGCUUAACAGAGGAAUAUGCAUGUAGUUACCUUUUUUUUCGGUGGAACGUGUUUGUCGGGUUAGAAAUAUUACAAAUAUGAUUAGAAAGGAAGGAAAUGGAAACUUAACUUUGUAUGGGAAAGAACGAGAGAGGAUGGAUAAGGAAACAAUGAGCACCUCUAAAUGCCAGCCAGGAAAAUAAAAUUGAAUAAUUUUACAGUCCAAGCACCAUGGUCUCCAAUUCAAUUCAAUAAAUCAAAAGAAUCCAGGCCCAGGCCAAUUUUAAAAUAGACCAAAAACGAGACACAUCGAGCCCAAAUUAUAAAUAGCUAAAAGAGAUUAGUGUUUUACUGUGCAGCCCACAAUAAAACAUUGAUCUCUGCUAUUUUAUGGAUUUUUUUUCUUGUUUUUUUAUGCCUUUUGAAAAAUUAUUUUUUGCUUCUUUUUUAUUUUUUUAUUUUUGUUUAAUUUAGUUUAUUAAUGUUUAAUUUUUUUUAUUUAGUUAUCAGACUUUCAUGACACGUUUUUCGGAUUUAACGGGUUAACCUGGUUUGAUAAGUUAACCUAGAAUAUUUCUUUUUUGCUUUUUAUUCUUUUUAAUUAAUUUUUUUUGUUUAGUUUAGUUGUUAAUGUUAAAUUUCUUUCUAUUUAGUUAUUAGAUUUUCAUGACAUAUAUCCCGAGUUUCACAGGUUAACCUGGUUUCACGGGAGAACCCAGUUAAUUAUGGGUUGACCCGUCAAUUUUUUUAUUUUCAUAAAUUUUUUUGUUUAAUUUAGUUUGUUAAUGUUAAAUUUUUUUUAUUUAGUUAUCAGACUUUCAUGACACAUAUCAUGGGUUUAACGGGUUAACAUGGUUUGACGAGUUAACCCGAAUUUAUUUUUUGAUUUUUUAUUUUUAAUUAAUUUUUUUUGUUUAGUUCAGUUUGUUAAUGUUCAUUUUUUUUUAGUUAUCAGACAUUCAUGACACGGAUCCGGGGUUUAACGGGUUAACUUGGUUUGACGAGUUAACCUGAAAUUUAUUUUUAUUUUUUUGCUUUUUUUUUCUUUUAAAUUAAUUUUUUUCGUUUAAUUUAAAUUGUUGAUGUUAAAUUUUUUUCUAUUUAGUUAUCAAACUUUCAUGACACGGAUUCCGGGUUUGAUGGGUUAACCUGGUUUAACGAGUUAGCCCAAUUAAUUCUGGGUUAACCCAUUAAUUUGUUUUUUCAUUUUUAAUUAUCAAACUUUCACGAUGCGAAUUCAAUGUAUGACGGGUUAACCUGGUUUGAAGAGUUAACCCAAUUAAUUCAUAUUUUUUUUUCUUUUUCUUCAUUAGUUUUUUUCUUCAUGUUGGUUUCUUUUUCUUUUUAACUAAUUUAUUUAAUUAUCACACUUUUAUGACACGACCUUGCAGUCAGACCCAUGUUCAAUGCUAUUGGGUCUGUAAUUACAGUCCAGACACUUUUAUACUAAGGGUUAACCCAAGUUUAAUGUUAUUAUUAAUAUUAUAAAUAUUACUCUUGGAUUAGGCGUUGCAACCAAACCUAAAACUCUUGGGUAUAACUUUGCAAAAAAAAACUAACACUUUUAGAUUUUAGCUUUUUUUGAAAUCCAAAAAUAAUUGACUCGCUGUAUCGCGCGGGACAUGUAACUAGUAAAAUUGCUAAAAAGAGACUUUCUUCGGACCGAAACAUCAACCGUAUUCUGAUAAGCCCCAAAUAUACUUCAAUAAGCACCCUCUGCAAAAGCUCUCGGUGCAACCUUCUUCCCCAGCCUCAUCAGCUCAAACACGCAAAUAUUUCCUCCCACCAAAUUGUUUUCCGCCGUCCCUUUAUCAAAUUCUACCCUCCGCCUUUUCUCCAUUUUGUUUGACGAAGCCACUCUUUUCCGUCACAAAUCUGAAGUCUGAAAGCAUUCAGAAUCUUCUUGCGGACACCUGUUAGCGGAUGUACUGCAUAAAUCAGCAAGAAUUGCAAUAAUUAGAACUUAACAAACACCUCCAAGAUUGCAUUUUUGUAAAGGCUCGCCAAAACAACACCGUGAAUGCUUAUUAUAAGAGCUGUAAGUACACAUUGAAAAUAAUAAAAUUAUCUACUACAUUUUCGUAAAGGCUCACCAGUAGAUCAUGCUUACUAUAUAAGUUCCUGCAAGAUAGUCAUGAAUGAAGGAUUUUUUGGGCUGGACAUCCAUGCUAUGCUGGCUUUACGCGCUGCAUUCGUAGUUCCUUGUGACGCCUUUGCUAAUGUGGGAAGAUUUUUUAAACUAGUGAUGAUUUCCGAUUCUUCCUGAUCUGCACAUUAUAGAUUCAUAAAUUAAGCACCAUCAUGGAUGUAUACACAAAGAACUCACGAACUUAUUCUGAUGAAGUUCCUUUCUUUAAUGAGAGUUUUUUGAAAAAAAAAGAUUUAUUAUGUGGUUAUCAAAAUUGAAAGCUUACAUUCAAAUUGAAGAAAAAUCAUUGUUAUCAUAAGAUAGGUUUCGUAAGGUGCAAAGUUACUUAUGAUGUUGAAGAUUGGUGAUAAGAUGUUCUAGAAAAUAGAGUUCGUGAUGGUAUGCCUAUAAUCCCAUCAUAAUAAACUAUGAAAACAUUGUUAAUUUUGAAUUAUAUAAAAUGAUAACAAAGAGAUUUUAUAAUGAGCAUAUUAUUAUUAUAACUAUCUUUCUGUUCAUGAAGAUUCACUAUCGUCAAUAUUUAUUGCUCUGCUACUCCCUUUGAUUCAAUUAUGGCCACAAGGGACAAGGGAGCUAUGUCUAACUGAUGGUGACCAGAUGCAAACAAUUUUCUUGUCUGCUUUUGCCAAUUUCAGCUUUCUGCUAGUCCUUCUGUCCAAAUUUGUUUCCACUGAAAUUUUUAAGUUUUGCCCCAGUUGCUUGAGUAGGUUUCAGCUGCAACAGAAAAGUAUAAAACUUUUAAUUGCAGAAAUUUGCUAGAUACUUACCAAGCAACUAGCCUUAACGGUUGUGUCAGCUUCAUCAACAGAAAUGUUACUAUCAUCCAUGAUAGAAAGCAUGACAUGGAUGAAAUCUUUCUCCUCCUCGCUGAUGCUUCUGUUGAGCCCGAUUCGUCGAUGCUCAUCCACCCAGCUCCCAAGCACGCAAUCUAACUCCCUUGCCGUUCUUUUCAUUUUUCCUGUAUAUCCCUUCACCAAAUCCAGCCAACUAAACAAUGGAACAGAAUCUGAAGCCAAAUUUAACCCCACUAGAUAGAAGAAAUUUCGUAAAGCCUCUUGACACCUCUUUGCCUCUUGAUUGCCUUUUGCAUCGGCUCUAAAGUAUCGCUUCCCAGAAAUCAUUCUAACUAUUAUGUUCAUCGCCAUGUCCGCUAAUCUUUGCUUCAUUUCCACCACAGCUUGCCCUCCAUUCCUUGACGAUUUCUCAUAAAAAUCUUUCAUGAGCAAACUGGUUUCUGUGUACCUGACAUGCUUGAGCACCUCAAGCCUAUGAUUUGAGAGGAGUUCAACCAUGACUAACUUCCUGAUAUCACGCCAAUAUCGCCCAUACGGUGCAAAGCCGAACGUGGUUUGGUUAUAGCCCAUGAUCUUUAAUGCUAAGGAUUUUGGACGUGUGGAAAAGACCUUAUCAUUUUCAGUGAAACAUUCUUUCACAAUUUCCCUAUCGCUCACCACAAUUGUUGGAUGAAUUCCAAGGCGGAUAGAGAAGAUUGACCCGUACUCAUCUGCCAUGCCCCCUAGUGUUUUAUGCAGCAGCUGGUUUCUUCCUCCAAGAAGAUGUAGGUGGCCAAUAACAGGCCAUGACCCUGCUACCUCUGGAGGCAUCUUGCCCUUUUUCUUGUUUCCUUUGGCAUAUAUUGUGGCCAAGACAAUAGAAAUUUUUGCAAGAAGAAGGCCAAACAAGGAGAUUUCUCGUAGCUCAAUUAAGGUUUUCAUGGUUUAGUCUGUAAUGGAGGUUUAGUACUUGGUUGAUAUUUUUUUCAGCUGCUACUGAAAGAAACUUUCGAAUUUAGACAAAUGAAAUAUAUUUUUAUGGCUAACUUCUUAUUUUGUUCACAUAUUGAUAGCUCAUUUAUGCCAAGCUCAUUGAUAGCUGAUGGUUACUGAUGUGGGGAUUUUCUAGUCUGGCUUGGCACUUCUAUGUUAUUCAACUAGUCUCCUCUGUAAAAAAAAAGAAAAAGAAAAAAGAAAACCGAAAAUUACCAUCACCAAGUUUGCAUAACUACUAAUUAUUACUUCCGUAAACGAGCAACCUUUUCUGAAAAAGAAAUGAUCUCUCCUUGCAAAUGAUUUUCUUUAUCAUCAUAUAUACAGUCACAACUACUAAUUAUUCACGAAAAAACGACAGGAUACCUUGACAAAUUUUCUAAUGUAUUUGCAUAUAUUUUUUAAUGUUUUUGAAGGCUCAAACUCAUUUUCUGUAAUUUCCUAGAAUAUCUUGACAAAUUCUUUAAUAGCAUUUUUGACAUUUUUUUUUAUCAUUUCCAUGUAUUAAAUCCAUGCUAGUGUUGAUCCAUGUGUUUAUAAGUUAAACAUCUUUCGAUCAUUUUAUCUUUUUAGGUGGAUUUCUAAAUAGAUCUUGAGAAGUCAUAACGGAUUUAUUGAAGUAUUAUUAAAUGGUUAUAUCAUAUUCUUCAUGUGGAAACUAUUUAUUGAGUUGGAACCUUUUAUGCAUAAGAUUAGUAAAGUAAUCAUUACCUUAAGAUUUUAUUAAAAAGAAUUGGAUAAAUUAUGGUUGAAAAAGAAAUAUAAGUGGAGGGAAUAUGAUUGAAAGAGAGAAUUUGUAGAUAAUAAAAUUGAAAGAGACGUAAAUCUUCAAUAUAUAGAAAAUGUCUUUUUAGUCAAAAAACGAAUCUUACCAUCACAUCAAGCUUGGAAAAAAAUCCUUGUGGAUGCACAACUAAUUUUACGUUACUUUCAUGAACAGACAACUACCUUCCUUAAAAGAAAAUGAGCUGCCACUUGCUCGUUAUCUCUUUUAAAACAAAGGCCGGAUACUUAUCUAUAAAUAAAUAAUAUAUCCAAGCUUUAAGAUGCACACUACAAUAAAUUAAAAAAAGAAAAAGAAAAAAGAAUAAAAAAUGAAAAGUAAUCUCAUAAAAUUAUAAAAUAUUUAUGAGAGCAUAAAUAAAGUAUUUUCUCCUAAUAAUAAAGAAAUUUUAGUUUUUUUUCUAUUAAUAAAAAAAGAUUGUAAUUCUCAUAUAUAUUAUUUAAUAAAAUUCUUUUAUAUUUCCUUAUAAAUAUAUUUAAAUUGGGUCAAUCAUAAAAAUUCUUGUGUGUAAUUUUUUAUUUUAACAUAUCUUUUAUUUUUCAUCUUAUUAGAUUUGUAUGCUAGUAUCCUAUCAAAUACCUAGGAUUUUCUUGAUCAUAAUACACUGUCACUACUGAUUAUUCACGAAAAAACAAAAAGAUAUCAAAACUAUUAGGCUUCUGUCAGCACAAGCUUUAUUUGUUUCCAGAAUUAGACAGGGAUAUACUUUUCUCUCCUUGUGUCACUGAAGUGUUUUUACAAUGUUAUAAUUUGACUUAUUAAUUUAAUAGAUUAACUCGUAUUAAUUUAAUAUAUUAUUAUAUUAAUAUUUAAAAAUAAUAUUCUACAAUAUAAAACAUAUUUUAAAUUCGUAAUUAAUUUUUUUAAUUAAAAAACAUCGUGGUGAAUAUGCCCUUCCUUGUACAUGUCAAGUAAAAUGUCUUUUCUUUACAAAAUCACGACUAAAUUACAUUGGACAGCCAACAACGCACCAGUUCCAUAGCUAAGCUUAACAAGAUUUGAAGAUUCUCCUGGUAAUUUAUAUUUACAGGAUCUAUCGCAACAUCAUCCUGGUUGAUUCCUCAGCAGCCACAUUUUACAUCAUAUAAUACAAACAAAAGUAUCACAAACGUUUGACUGUCACGAGGAGGGAUUAGUAAAUUACCAGUGACCAAACAUAGACUAAACAAAACAUUCUGAACAGCAGAGAUUGCCUUGCAAGUCACUUCAAAGACACACAAUCUUCAACUGCACGAAAUGUUGUCACCUUCAGCACAGAUUUCUUGCUGUUGAUCAGCUCAAAGACGCGAACGUCUCCUUCCUUCAAAUCAUUUUCCUUGUGAAAUCUAUUCCAUCCCUUCGACAGCUUACGUUCACAUUUACUGACUCGCAAAGGCCACCCCCUUCCAUCAGAAACUUGGAGUUUAAUACGAUCGGAAACUUGAUUCAGAUAUUUUUCAGCAAAUCCAAGCGCCACAUACUGCACAUAACGAAAAACAAUUCAAACUGAAUACGAAACUUACAAAAAUCACGAGCAUAUUCUAUAUAAUUAAAGGCUCCCCACAAAAUUGUUGCGGGUAUUAUAUAUGGUCGCAACAAGACCAUGAAAGAAGGGUUUUUAGGUUUGAACUUUCUGGCAGCGUGAACUGACUACAAUUUCCAUAUGUGAAUGUGAAUGAUUCUUUUCAGGGAUCUUUGCUCUAUGCAUGACUCGAGCUCCUCAAGUGAAUAGAAUACUCUGCUUUGUGUGGACAAUACAGAUGGCACCGCAUCUUCGUUCAUGUGUCCACAUGUUGUACAUUCAAGAUUAAAAAUGGCAGCCUUUUUUUUAUGAUGAGAAAUUUAAUAAAAACAAAGAUCAAAACAUUAUAUACAUUCUCUACAAAUAAAAUCUAGGAUUAACAGUUUAAGUUAUUAGGUUGAAUUGAUUAUUUGAUAUGGUAUUAGAAUCUUAAUAACCUAAUAAUCACGAGUUUGAAUCUCACUAUCUCCAUUUAUUUGAUAAAAAUUAAAAAUAAAGUAAUGUUCAAACGACUUUCACUUGAAUAGAUGUGUUAGAGAAUAAUAUAAAUUAUAUAUUAGAACCUUACCUAACAGUUUAAACUAUUGGGUGAAGAUAGUUUUUUGACACAAGCAAACAAUUUUCUUGUCUGCUUUUGCCAAUUUCAGCUUUCUGCUAGUCCUUCUAUCCAAAUUUGUUUCCACUGCAAUUUUUAAGUUCGAAAAAAAACGCACCAAAUGAUAUAGUUGAUAAAAAUAGACAAUAGUAAAUUAAAAACCACGAAAUAAAAACUUGACUAUAAGAUCAGUUCAACAGUUAUUGCAAUACAUUGGCAAUAAAAAACACUUCCUGCCUUUAUUCUACCUUUGUUUUACAUAUUUUUAUAAAGGAUUGCACAAUGAUCUCCUUGUGCUUGCUGCUUAGAAUUCGUAAGCGAUGGAAGGUAACCUUGGCCUGAGGACAACCUCCAAUGGUGUUGCUUUGGGGACUGUCAAUCCAGGGCUUUCAGUCAUAUCGACUGGAGUAUCCGAGACUGUCCUCAAUUCAAACCCGUGAAGAAGCCGAGCAAGUGUCAGGUGCACAACCUGGACAGCGAAUGACACCGCAGGGCACAUUCUUCUUCCAGACCCGAAUGGUGUGAAUUCGAAGUCCUGCCCCCUUACAUCCAAAUUGGCUUUCUCUUUCAGGAACCUCUCAGGCUGAAAUUCCAAUGGGUUAGCCCAAAUGUUAGGGUCACGAUGCAACUUCCAGAGGUUAACCACAAGGCGCGUGCCUGCUGGGAUGUGGAAGCCAGCUACAGUGCAAUCCUCCAUGGCUUCCCUUUGUCCUGAGAGUGGUGCUGGCGGGUGUAGCCUGAAUGUUUCCUUGACAAUGGCUUGCAAAUAUACAAGGUUCUUUAUGUCUGUCUCGGCCACUUGGCGGUGCUUUCCGACGUGGGUGUCAAGCUCAUCUUGAGCUUUUUGAAGCAUAUUUCUGUUGUUUAGUAGCAAAGCUAGUGCCCAUAUC
rnacentral:lncRNA from 1 species